GAUGAACGCUAGCGGCAGGCUUAAUACAUGCAAGUCGAGGGGCAGCAUGAGUAGCAAUACUUGAUGGCGACCGGCAAACGGGUGCGGAACACGUACACAACCUUCCUUCAAGCGAGGAAUAGCCCAGAGAAAUUUGGAGUAAUACCUCAUAGCAUAUUAGAGUGGAAGCACAUCUAUAUUAAAGAUUUAUAAAUUGAAGAUGGGUGUGCGGCUGAUUAGAUAGUUGGCGGGGUAACGGCCCACCAAGUCUACGAUCAGUAGCUGAUGUGAGAGCAUGAUCAGCCACACGGGCACUGAGACACGGGCCCGACUCCUACGGGAGGCAGCAGUAAGGAAUAUUGGUCAAUGGACGAAAGUCUGAACCAGCCAUGCCGUGUGAAGGAUGAAGGUCCUCUGGAUUGUAAACUUCUUUUAUAUGGGACGAAAAAAGGUCAUUCUUGAUCACUUGACGGUACCAUUUGAAUAAGCACCGGCUAACUCCGUGCCAGCCGCCGCAGUAACAC
rnacentral:rRNA from 1 species